rnacentral:pre_miRNA from 1 species
UCUUCAUUCUGCACACUCUCUCACCGGUCAGAGAGGCGAGAGAGUGUGUGACAUGAAGUGA